rnacentral:rRNA from 1 species
UACGUAGGUGGCAAGCGUUGUCCGGAUUUAUUGGGUUUAAAGGGUGCGUAGGCGGUCUAUUAAGUCAGUGGUGAAAUACCUGAGCUUAACUUGGGAACUGCCAUUGAUACUAUUUGUCUUGAAUGUCGUGGAGGUUAGCGGAAUAUGUCAUGUAGCGGUGAAAUGCUUAGAUAUGACAUAGAACACCUAUUGCGAAGGCAGCUAACUACGCGAAUAUUGACGCUGAGGCACGAAAGCGUGGGGAUCAAACAGG